UAGCCUUUCUCCGUGUGAAACUCAGCAUGAAAUUAUGUCAGCAUCCCACACAAAGUGCCUAAAAGUCCAUUUGGUUAAUCUGUUCCGUGAUGGCACUGUGUCUGAAAUGGUUGACCUUGAGGUUCCAAUUAUCAUCAAGGAGGAGAUUCUAAAGCUUAAUCUAAAACUUGGCCACAAAUUUAGGCCUUGAUCAACCCCGUCUGUAUUAUCCCUGCAAAGGUUCCAUAUCAGAGGAGUAGUCUGAGUUCAUGUUUUCCCAGAAGAUUGUUGCGCCUGCCAUUGUCUCCGGUAUUAUAUAUUUAAAAUUGAGAUAAAAGGGGAUGUAGGGUGAGAGUCAGGACUCAGGAUUUGAGACAUCCUUAAUCAAGGUAUUAUUAGUUUUAAUGUUUGAUUAAUAUAUAUCAUAUAUAGUUUAUUAGAAAUUAUCUUUCAGCAUUGUAUUUCACGGAAGACAUUAUAGUAUAUUCCACUAAAUAAAAUUACAAAAAUCUCUUUGUCAGUAAUUCCUUGUAUUAUUUAAAAGACCCCAAUCAUUGAAGCUAGAAUAAAUGUACCACUUGGACAACAACUCCAAACCAGCAUAGAUAAACUAGCUGAGAGUUCGAGCUAAGGAGUUUGAGAUGGCAGUUUAUGUUCUCUCUUUGCUUGGUUUCUUCAUCCUGUUACAGCGUGUCUUUGCUCAGCCAACUGCUAAUGCAGGUACAAACUUUUCAUGCUUCUCUGAAUCGCCUGUUUCCUGUCAAACAUAUCUUAGUUACAGAGCAAGGCCAUCCGAUUAUAUGAACAUAGGAAAUAUAUCGGACCUGUUUGGAGUUAGCCGCUUGAGUAUUGUCAUAGCGAAUAACCUAUCUUCAGAUGAUGUCAAGCUAAAACAUAGUGCAAAACGUCAUUGCGCGUGACGUCUUCUCCGUUAGUACUAAACGCGAGUCUAAGUGCCGUUGUAGAGCGAUAGAAUUGGGCUUUUUUUUGGAUCGUGACAACUGGGUCAUUCAGUGUCAAAAUCAUGACACUGAGGGCUAUUUCUCAAUUAAGGGCUUAUCAAGAGUUUAUAUUUUUAAGUGUAUAUUUUUAUAAAAAAUUUAGAUAUAAAUGUAAAAAAAAAAAAAGUGUUUCAUAUUCAUUGUGGCAAAAAAUAAGAGCUUUUUUCAGGAAAAGAAAAUGAAUUUCA